rnacentral:rRNA from 1 species
GUGCCAGCCGCCGCGGUAAUACGGAGGGUGCAAGCGUUAAUCGGAAUUACUGGGCGUAAAGCGUGCGUAGGCGGCUGUUUAAGUCAGAUGUGAAAGCCCCGGGCUUAACCUGGGAACUGCAUUUGAUACUGGGCAGCUAGAGUUGAGUAGAGGAGAGGGGAAUUUCAGGUGUAGCGGUGAAAUGCGUAGAGAUCUGAAGGAACACCAGUGGCGAAGGCGCCUCUCUGGACUCAAACUGACGCUGAGGUACGAAAGCGUGGGUAGCAAACAGGAUUAGAUACCCGCGUAGUCC